rnacentral:lncRNA from 1 species
GGCCCGGGAACCAAGUCCUCUUAAUCUGAAAUAGUUAAGGAAUGAGCUACACUAGCCCAGUAAAGAUGUCACAUUAUCUCACUAUCACAGAAGUAAAGGUUGGUAGAAAACAAAAACGACCAAUGAAGCAUAAUUUAUAACAAAUUCAUUUAUCAAUAAUAAAACCCUUUACUGUCCAUUUACCUCGAUGAGAUUCAUGAAAACAACUUAUGAAAACAAUAACAUUAUAAUAUCAUAAAAUCAUACACACUUUGUAACAUAACACAUGUCAUACUUUUAAUAUUUUAAUCAUCAGG